rnacentral:tRNA from 1 species
GGAGAGGUGGCUGAGUGGUUGAAAGCACCGCACUCGAAAUGCGGCAUACCCGCAAGGGUAUCGCGGGUUCGAAUCCCGCCCUCUCCGCCA